rnacentral:lncRNA from 1 species
UUUUUUUUUUUUUUUUGGUCUUUUUGCCAUUUCUUGGGCUGCUCCCGCGGCAUAUGGAGGUUCCCAGUCUGUGGGUCUAAUCGAAGCUAUAGCCACCGGCCUACGCCAGAGUCACAGCAACGUGGGAUCUAAGCCGAAUCUUCGACCUACACCACAGCUCACAGCAACACUGGAUCCUUAACCCACAGAUCGAGGCCAGGGAUCGAACCUGCAACCUCAUGGUUCCUAGUCAGAUUCCUUAACCACUGAGCCACAACGGGAACUCCAUGUAUCUCUUUUUAAAAAUUUUAUAUUAUUUAUUUAUUUAAAUUUUUUAUUUGUUUGUUUUUUAGGGCCGUACUAUAACAUAUGAAAGUUCCCAGGCUAGGGGUUGAAUCGAAGCUGCAGCUGCCAGCCCUAGCCACAGCCAGAGCAACUCGAGAUCCAAGCCAGAUCUUUGACCUACACCACAGCUCACAGUAAUGCUGGAUCCUUAACCCACUGAGUGAGGUCAGGGAUUGAACCCAUGUCUUAAUGGUUACUAGUCAGAUUGGUUUCCACUGUGCCACAAUAGGAACACUUUUUUUUUUUUUUUAAGAUUCCACUUAUAAGCGAUGUCAUAUGAUGUUUAUCUUUGUCUGGAUAAUCUCUAGGUCUAUGCAUAUUGCUAUAAAUGGCAUCAUGUCAUUCUUUUUAUGGCUGAGUAAUAUUCCAUUGUAUAUACAUUGUAUAUAUAAACCACAUCCUUUUUUUUUUUUGGUCUUUUUAUGGCCACACCGGGCAUACCGAAGUUCCCAGGUUAGGGGUCAAAUUGGAGUUGCAGCUGCCUGCCUACACCACAGCCAUAGCAACUCAGGAACCAAGCCUUGUCUGCGACCUACAACACCUCAUGGCAAUGCCAGAUCCUUAACCCACUGAUCAAGGCCAGGGAUCCAACCUGUAUCCUCAUGGAUACUAGUUGGGUACGUUACCACUGAGCCAUAAUGGGAACUCCCCAAAGCACAUCCUCUUUAUCCAUUCACCUGUUGAUGGACCUUUAGGUUGCCUCCAUGUCUUGGCUAUUGCAAUUAGCACUGCUACAAACAUUAGGUGUAUGCAUCUUUCUUUUUUGUUUUUUUGCCAUGCCUGCCAAAUAUGGAAGUUCUUAGGCCAGGGAUCAAACCCGACCCACAGCACCAACUCGAGCCACUGCAGUGAUGAUGCUAGAUCCUUAACCCACUGCACCAGAAUUCCAGUGUAUAUCUUUUUUUUUUUUAAUGGCCACACCUGAGGCACAUGGAAGUUCCCAGUCUAGGAGUCUAAUUGGAGCUGUAGCUACCAGCCUAUGCCACAGCCACAGCAACGCCAGAUCUGAGCCAAGCCGUGUCUUUGACCUAUAUGGCAGCUCAUGUCAAUACCGGAUCUUUAAUCCAUUGAGCUAGGGAUUGAACCUGCAUCCCAUUGAUACUGGUUAGGUUUUUUACUGCUGAGCCACAACAGGAAGUCUGUUUUAUUUUUUUGUAAUUAUUAUUUCUUUCUUUCCUUUUUUUUCCCCACUGCCCCUGUGGCAUAUGUUAAAUUCCUGAGCCAGGGGUCAGAGCUGUGACCUAUACCAGAGCUGCAGCAACACUGGAUCCCCAACCCACUGCGCCAGGCAAGAGAUCCAACUCACACCUCCACAGAGACAAGCCAGAUCAUUUACCCACUGCGACACAGCAGAAACUCCUAAAUUGUUAUUUUAGGCCACUAUGUUUUGAAGUGGUUAUACACAAAUAGUUAUCAAAACAUGGUGCUUUGGGGUUAUCUCAGUCCCUGUAGGAAAGUACUUAGUCUUUCACCAUUCCAUUUCAUUUUUCAAGAGGGUUGCAAGAUAUUCUAUACCACAUGCUCUUCUUUAAUGUGAUGCUGACACUCCUCCCAUCGAGGAGUCUAUAUUCUCUCCUCUUAAAUCUCCUGCAGUGCAGUGGGUUAGGGAGCCGGCAUUGUCACUUCAGCAGCCCAAGUUGCUGCCGUGGCACAGGAUGGAUCCCUGGUCCAGGAACUUCCACAUGCCGCAGAUGGGAGUUAAAUCUAUUCAGAAUCUACUUCUCUCUCCACCCCAACAAUUCCAGUGUGACUGGAUUAGACCAGAUAUUGAGUCAAGUUCUCACCUCCUAGUCCUAGGGUUUGGGGGUUUACUUGUUUUGUUUUUUAAUUCAUUCUUCAGGAGCAGGAGGCUCAGAUUCCCUUCCAGCACUGGCUCCACCUUCAGGGUGUCAUUAGAAUAUUUGGGAGUGUUCUGCAAGGGCUGUAGGGAGGGGCAGGUGUGUUUAGGGGUAGCAGGAGGUACUGCUGGCAUCCUUACCUUAAUCUCCUGUAGUUUCCCCAACACUUCACCUUGUUGUCAGAAGCCAGGCAAUCCACCUUUCCCAAGUUAGUGCUAGAGCUCUCAUUUCCUCCUUUGACUUUGACCUCAUAGCUGCCCCCUCCAAGGACUCCAAGACAAGUGUACUCUUUGUAGGCCUGGUCUCAAGUGAUGCUCUGAUUUAAAAAGGGAUUUGUGGACAAUCAGUAUAAAUGACCUAGUUUGGGUCUAACUCCAUCAUUAGAAUGGAAACUCAGUCAUGUCUCUUUACAAUUUUAUUUCUUCAUCUGUAACAUUUUGCUGAUUAAUAAGAUUAAAAUGAUUAAAUGACAUUGUAAAUUACUGUAAUACAAAGUUAAGGUAAAACAAAUGCUAGUCAUUAUGAUUAGAAAGUGUAUAUAUAUUAUCUGACAAUACCACCCAAAGCAAUCUACAGAUUUUUUUUUUUUCUUUUUAGGGCAGCACUUGUGGCAUAUGAAAAUUCCCAGACUAGGGGUUGAAAUGAAGCUACAGCUGCUGGCCUACACCACGGCCACAACAACUAGGGAUCUGAGCUGCAUCUGUGUCUUACAUCACAGACAACACUCAUGGCAACGCUGGAUCAUUUAACCCACUGAGCAAGGCCAGCGAUUGAACCCGCAUCUUUAUAGAUACUAGCUGGAUUCAUUUCCACUGUGCUACAAUGGGAACUCCAGAAAUUUACAGAUUUAACAUGAUCCCUAUCAAAUUACCCAUGGCAUUUUCCACAGAACUAGAGCAAAUAAUCCUAAAACUUAUAUGGAACCACAAAAUACCCAGAAAUUGCCAAAGCAAUCCUGAGGAAAGAAUAAACCUAGAGUAAUAACCCUCCCAGACUUCAGAAAAUACUACAAAGUUAUAGUAAUCAAAACAGUGCAGUACUGGCAAAAAACAUAUGAAUCAAAUGAACAGAAUAGAGAGCCCAAAAGUAAACCCAUACACCUACAGUCAAUUAAUCUUUGACAAAGGAUGCAAGAAUAUACAAUGUAGAAAAAGUCUCUUCAGCAAGUGCUGUUGGGAAAGCUCAAUAGCCACAAGUAAAUCAAUGAAGUUAGAACACACCCUUACACCCCACACAAAAAUAAACUCAAAAUGACUUAAAGAUUUAAAUAUAAGACAUGAUACCAUAAAACUAGAAGAGAACAUAGGCAAAACAUUCUCUGACAUAAACAGCAGCAUUCUCUUAGGUCAGUACACCAAGGCAAUACAAAUAAAAGCAAAAUAAACAAAUGGGAUCUAAUCAAAUUUAUAAGAGCUGUAGCUGUAACUUUUACAAAGCAAAGGAAACCAUAAACAAAACAACAACAUAUGAACUGGAAGAAAAUAUUUGCAGGAGUUCCCAUUGCGGCUCAGCAGAAAUGAACCUGACUAGUAACCAUGAGGACACACGUUCGAUCCUUGGCCUUGCUCAGUGGGUUAAGGAUCUGGUGUUGCCGCGAGCUGUGGUGUAGUUCACAGAUUCGGCUUGGAUCUGGCGUUGCUGUGGCUGUGGUGUAGGCCAGUAGCUACAGUUCCGAUUCAGCUGCAGCUCCAAUUGGACCCUUAGCCUGGGAACUUCCAUAUGUUGCAGUUGUAGCCUUUAAAAAGACCAAAAAAAAAAAAAAAAGAAAGAAAGAAAAAAAUAUUUGCAAACACUCAACCAACAAAGGCUUAAUUUCCAAAAUACACAAACACCUCAUACAACUCAUUAACAACCAAAAGCUUUUGCUGUUUAGUUUUUUAACUUUCUUAAAAAACUAAAAAUAGAGCUAUCAUAUAAUUCAGCAGUCCCACUCCUGGGCAUAUACUUGGAAAAGAUGAAAGCUCUAAUUUGCAAAGAUACAAGCAUCCCAAUUUUCACAGCAGGACUAUUUACAAUAGCCAAGAUUGAAGCAACCUAAAUACCCACUGGGAAAGGAAUUAACAAAGAAGAUGUGGUAUAGAUACACCCUAGACUACUACUCAGCCAAAUAAAAAAAUGAAAUAAUGCCAUUUGCAACAACAUGGAUGGACCUAGAGAGUAUUAAGUGAAGUAAGUCAGAAAAAGGCAAAAACUAUAUGAUGUCAUUUAUAUGUGGAAUCUCAAAUAUGACACAAAUGAACUAUUUAUGAAACACAGAAAAAAACUUCCAGAGAAAGCAAACUUUGGGAGAGUUCCCUGGUGGCUCAGCAGGUUAAGGAUUUGGCAUUGUCACUGCUGUGGCUCUCAUCACUUCUGUGGCAUAGGUUUGAUCCUGGAUCAGGAACCCAGGCAUGCCGAGGGCAUGCCCAAAACAAAGAAAUAUAAACAAACACCUCCAAACUUAUGGUUACCAAAGUGGAAAGGGGGUAGUAGAGGGAUAAAUUAGGACUAUAGAAUUAGCAGAUACAAGCUUAUUAUGUAUAAACUAGACAACAAGAAUUUGCUGUACAGCACAGGGAACUAUAUUCAAUAUCCUUGUAGUAAAUCAUAAUGGAAAAGAAUAUGAGAAAGAUUAUAUUAUGUAUAACUGAAUCACUUUGCUAUGUAGCAGAAAUUAACACAACAUUGUAAGUCAACUACACUUCAAUUUAAAAAAGACCAAAAAAUGUAUAUUAGCAUUUUUUUUUAUAUUAGCAAAUUAAAGACCCCAAAACCUAUUUAAUUAGAGAACUGCUGAACUCCGUUGAACCAGAGUUUUCCUGGUUGACACAUCCAUAAGAACACUUUUAAACAGCACGCCUAUAGUUGGUAUGAGAGGAUCAGAGAGGAGAUCAGGACCUGGAGUGAACACGACCCAGCUGGAACACGCACAGAGCUAUGAGGUGUUCAGAUCUAUGGGAUCACCACUCGCCUCGGAGUAAGGCCGGGUCAUUUCCAGCUCCUGGUGCCCAGCCCCAGACGCCAACCGGAGGCUUCUUGGGCGGUGCUCCACUUCCCUCCCACCAAAUGGGUACCGUGACUUGGUGCUCUCACUGUCGGGAACCGAUCAGCACUUCACGGGCUUCCGGUCCUGACUCAGGCCUGAUUUGCGGGAAGGUUCCCAACCGAGGUGGCCAAGACAAACCAGCGGGCGGGGCCGUUCGCAAACCUGAUGACGGGGAAGGCCCGACACUUGCAGGCGAGAAUCGAAGGCGGCGC